rnacentral:rRNA from 1 species
GCAAAUGGCAAUUUGAUCACAAUCUCCUCUCAGCUCAAAAGCUAAUCAGGGUCAGGCCAAGUUAGUACUUGGAUGGGAGACCAACUGGAAAUAAAAGCGGCUAUAAGCU